rnacentral:rRNA from 1 species
CCUACGGGAGGCAGCAGUGAGGAAUAUUGGUCAAUGGGCGCGAGUCUGAACCAGCCAAGCCGCGUGAAGGAAGAAGGCUCUUAGUAUUGUAAACUUCUUUUGUCGGGGGAUAAAGGCGGAGACGCGUAUCCGGAUGAGUGUACCCGACGAAUAAGCAUCGGCUAACUCCGUGCCAGCAGCCGCGGUAAUACGGAGGAUUCGAGCGUUAUCCGGAUUUAUUGGGUUUAAAGGGUGCGUAGGCGGUAGGACAAGUCAGAGGUGAAAUGCCGAGGCUCAACCGCGGCACUGCCUGUGAUACUGGUUGGCUAGAGUGGUGGUGCGGUAGGCGGAAUGCAUGGUGUAGCGGUGAAAUGCGUAGAGAUCAGGAAGAACACCGAUUGCGAAGGCAGCUUACC